UGCAGGUGAUCGUUGUGUCUAUGAGAUAAUCAGAAGAUCUGAAAACUCUGACAAUGGUCCAGCAGAAGAUGUUUACGCCAAUGUCGCGUCUGUGAUUCAGCUCAAAGUCAUUAACAAGACAAGGCAACGUGGUGACGCAGAGGAGAGCUCUGACUACAAUAAUGUCAAUCUGUCAGGGUGCUGGGUCGUUGACCAAAGAUUCUGAGGUUAUUUUGCUUUUGUGAGUCUCUCUGUGAAAGUGUGAAGAUGGUCUAAGUUUAAGUUUAUACAGUUUAACCAGGAGUUUAGUUCUUUCUAUGUUUCUGAGUUUUCUUGUAUUUCCAGUUUAUGGUUUAUUGUCUGUGAGGUUCCACUUGUGUGUUUGUCUCAUCCCUGUGUUGCUUGUGAGAGUCUGUCGUGUCAUCCAUGUUUAUGCUCACUCGCCCUCUGUGUGUCUUAGUAGUGUCAGUGUGUUUUGUCUCCUUCUGUUUCAUCUUUUGUCUCCCUGUUUGUUUAUCCCCGUUUCUGCAUCAAGCUCGUGUGUUCAUGUACUUCCUGUUUUAUUUUGACAGUAUUUCAUCCCGUGUUCAGUGUGUUUGGUUUGGCUUCCCUGUCUCGUUACAUUCGAUUCAUCAGAGCUGUUUUCCAAUGUGUUUCCACUUCACUGAUCAUCUCUCAAUCCUUCAAAGGUGUGUCGAGGUAUUCCCAGUGUUCCACGUUUUCUGUUAGUUUAAGUUUGAGCUUUCCCAGUUUAGUUUUUUUUUUCUCAGUCAGUUCUUUGUUUAUUUUUGGAUAACCUGAUUUGGUUCAUGUUUGUUUCCAGCCCUGAAAAACGUUUUUUGUUAAAAUUUUGAUUUUGCCUCUCGUUGUCUGCAUUUGGGUCCUUACAAAGAGCCACACAGUCUGCAGCUACAGAUUGUGACAAAAUCCAAAUUUAGUCACAGCUCUAAAAUCUUAACAGCAGCUCUUUAGCUGUUUUUCCUCUUUAAAGUCUCUUAAAUACUUGAAGUCACUUUGAGUGAAAAGGAGAAGAUUUUGAAUUCGAAGCAAUGAUCCUGAUGCCUGAGUUUAUAUUUCCUUCAGAAAGAAUCACUCAGUGUGUUUCACUUGUUUCUCUCCCAUUAGAUAAUAAUUUUUAUUUACUUUAAUAUACUGUAGAUCUUUUUAUCUUUUUAAUUAUUUAUUUUAUUUUAAUAUAUUAUAAAGUCUUUCUGUGAAGCACUUUGUAACUUUGCCAAUGAAAGUGUGAUAUAAAUAAAGUGUGUUGUUGUUGUGUGUCAGACUGAGAGUACAUGUUACAGCUGUUCAGUGUUGUGCAUGAAUCCACUGAAGGAGAGCUUUCAUUUAAAGGCACUCAUUGUCAUUUAAAACAGCUUACAACCCUCCAACAUGAACUAAAGCUGUCAACAUAAUGGGAAGUAACAACUGCUCUGACGUUAUGCUCAGCAGCCUUUUUACUGUGUAGCAGAGUUUUCCCAGUUUUCUCAGGAGGUCCGGCUCAUACUUUCAUGUAAUACCGAUUUAUUUUGACAGUGUCAGUCACAUGUUCAGCAAGACCAUGAUAACUCUGUGCAUGACACAUGAAUCUUAAUUUUCUAUUUUAUGUAUUUUUAUUCCACUGUAAUGUCUUUAUUAUCUGUUCAAUAA